rnacentral:rRNA from 1 species
UACGUAGGUGGCAAGCGUCAUCCGGAUUUAUUGGGCGUAAAGGGAACGCAGGCGGUCUUUUAAGUCUGAUGUGAAAGCCUUCGGCUUAACCGGAGUAGUGCAUUGGAAACUGGGAGACUUGAGUGCAGAAGAGGAGAGUGGAACUCCAUGUGUAGCGGUGAAAUGCGUAGAUAUAUGGAAGAACACCAGUGGCGAAAGCGGCUCUCUGGUCUGUAGCUGACGCUGAGGUUCGAAAGCGUGGGUAGCAAACAGG